rnacentral:tRNA from 1 species
CAUUAUGAAGCUAAACAGCAUUAACCUUUUAAGUUAAAGAUUGAGAACUCCCGUUCUCCAUAAUGA